UAUAAUAAGGUGUUUUAAGCAUAUUGUAUUUUGGUUGCAAAGGAGAGUAGUUUCUAUUAUAU
rnacentral:tRNA from 1 species